AGGCACCACGGAGCCUGCGCAAGCUGCGGGGCCGUAAAGGAACCGGCCCCCAAUCUCCGGGGCUUCAGUCCCGCCCCUCUCUCCCCCCAGUGCCCUGCAGCGCUCCCAGGGUCCGUGUCUGCCCUCCCCAAGCCCCCACUGUCAAUACAAUCCCUGUUAAAAAAAAAAAAUCUUUUUAGAGCCAGGCACGUGCCGUCGGCCUCUCCCCUGCCCGCCUGGCCCAGGAGGCGCCCACACCUGCGCCCUCACUUGCCGAGACUUUUACCUGUGCAGUCCCCGGCGGCGCCUGCAGCCGCGCAGGUGCCAUUUAAAAAUUUUGUAUGAAUUAUGUCCUCGCCCACAGCGACUCUCUGAGAUCUGGGGCAUGCCAACUCCUUACUCUGGGGGAGUAUUGGAGGGAGAAUUCUACUUUUCUGAUGGGGGAGUACCAGCCUGUUAACCACAACCAUUUGCAGCUGAAGCCAGUGCAGAGCAGGAGGGAGAUCUGCACAGAGGAGAACAGUAUAAAUGGCAUGGGGUCAUCUCAGCCCCUGGCCAGCUCCCAGCCUAAUGGGAAAACCGGACCAUUGAGCAUUCCUUGCUGUUUCCCUGUAGUCCCAGCCCAAGCCAGCAUGCUCUUUUUUUAAAAAGCAAAUCCAACCAUGUUUCUCUUCUGCUUAAAGGCAUCCGGGUUCCCAUUGUUCUUGAGAACAAGUUGAGCUUGCCUCCCCUGGCUGGCGGGUCUACACUGGCUCUGCCCCAGCUUGCCUUUCUGCCUUUGUCUGCCUCCACACCCCCUCACCUGGAACUCCUGCUACCCAAGGCUUCCUUUUAGUUCCUCAAAUGUGCCAUGCUACUCCCCACCUCAAGGGCUUUGCUCCUGCUUUUCUCUGUCUCUCUGGAAUGACCUGUCCUUCUCUUCACCUGGCUUGCGCAUACUCUUCCUUCAGGUCUCAGCUCACACAUCACUUUCCUGCAUCCUCCCGCCUCCCAUUACCCUCACUUAUAAUAGAAUUUCCUGUUGAGAGUCUGUCCGCUUCACUGGAUGGUAAACUCCCAGGGGGUAGGGACUAGGGCCGUUCCUUCAAGGAACAAAUGAAGAAGGAACAUUUGUAUAAACCACCAACUAUGAUGAACGAAUGAAACUGCCCUUUUUGGGGCCACCAGUAAGUAUUCUCCAUGGUCUCACAUUCCAAGAUGUUCUCAACUUAAUGAGGGCGAUGAUACAAAUCUCAUGAAAACAUAUGUUAUUUUGAAUGCCUUUAUUGUAAAUGUCAAAUAAGGGGAUGCUGGAGGAGGUUGGAGAAGAGGAAUAUGCAUGGAUUACAGCCAUUUAUUCAGGGUUUCAAGAUGCAAGAUGUGUUGGUUGACACAAUUUAAUGGAAAACCAUGCCACCCACGACCAUCUCCCAGUGUUGGGCAUGUAUGUCUCAAGGCUCUAGCCUGCACCCCCUUUCCUCUUCCUUUCUUCACAUAUUAUUGCUAUCACAGUUCAGUUCUUACUAGUUUCUGACUUAACUGCUGCUACAAGAACCUUCUAAUUGUUCUGCCCAUCCUCCACCUCUCCUGCCUCUAAUCCAUCAUACAUACUCCUGCUGGGUUAAUUUUCCUGACCACAUCAUUCCCUUACUCAAAACUCUUCAGUGGCUCCCUAUGAUACAGUGUAACACUUGACUCUUCAUAGCCCACUUCCAAACUACUUUUGUAAAGCUUUAAGAUGCAUUCCAAAAUUAUGAAAGAAACACAUGUUCACCUCAACCAGGAAAACACUCAAAGAUAUACAAAGAAAAACAUCAGUGAUCUUCCUCACCUCCUCUGCAUUUCCCACCCAGUCUCCCAAGACAUCCAUUGUUAAGGACCUGGGGUAUAACUUCUACCUCUUUCACCAUGCUCCAUGCUCAUAAUAAACUAUAUUCAUAUAUGUGGA
rnacentral:lncRNA from 10 species